GUGAAUACGUUCCCGGAUCUUGUACUCACCGCCCGUCACGUCAAGAGAGCCGGCAACACCCGAAGGUCCUGUUUCAAAGCAGGGACAACGGUGGGGCUGAUGAUAGGGACGAAGUCGUAACAAGGCAUCCGUAGCGGAAGCUGUGGAUGGAUCACCUCCUUU
rnacentral:ncRNA from 1 species